rnacentral:misc_RNA from 1 species
GGGAAAGGAAAGUGGGAAACAAAGGAGUCAUGUCUAGUUUGUGAUGCCAAAUAUUGCAGCAAUUGUGUGCUUAGGGCCAUGGGAUCAAUGCCCGAAGGGCGUAAAUGUGUCACUUGCAUCGGUGAUCCUAUAGACGAAUCUAAGAGGUCAAAAUUGGGUAAGCAUUCAAGGGUCUUGUCUCGACUACUUAGUCCUUUGGAAGUGAGGCA